rnacentral:rRNA from 1 species
AUUGAACACUGGCGGCAGGCCUAACACAUGCAAGUCGAGCGGAUGAAGGGAGCUUGCUCCUGGAUUCAGCGGCGGACGGGUGAGUAAUGCCUAGGAAUCUGCCUGGUAGUGGGGGAUAACGCCCGGAAACGGGCGCUAAUACCGCAUACGUCCUGAGGGAGAAAGUGGGGGAUCUUCGGACCUCACGCUAUCAGAUGAGCCUAGGUCGGAUUAGCUAGUUGGUGGGGUAAAGGCCUACCAAGGCGACGAUCCGUAACUGGUCUGAGAGGAUGAUCAGUCACACUGGAACUGAGACACGGUCCAGACUCCUACGGGAGGCAGCAGUGGGGAAUAUUGGACAAUGGGCGAAAGCCUGAUCCAGCCAUGCCGCGUGUGUGAAGAAGGUCUUCGGAUUGUAAAGCACUUUAAGUUGGGAGGAAGGGCAGUAAGUUAAUACCUUGCUGUUUUGACGUUACCAACAGAAUAAGCACCGGCUAACUUCGUG